rnacentral:piRNA from 1 species
UGAAAAUGUGCAUAAUGACUAGUUACCAGGA